UACGAAGGGAGCUAGCGUUGUUCGGAAUCACUGGGCGUAAAGCGCACGUAGGCGGAUCUUUAAGUCAGAGGUGAAAUCCCAAGGCUCAACCUUGGAACUGCCUUUGAUACUGGGGAUCUUGAGUCCGGGAGAGGUGAGUGGAACUGCGAGUGUAGAGGUGAAAUUCGUAGAUAUUCGCAAGAACACCAGUGGCGAAGGCGGCUCACUGGCCCGGUACUGACGCUGAGGUGCGAAAGCGUGGGGAGCAAACGGG
rnacentral:rRNA from 1 species